GAUGAACGCUAGCGGCAGGCCUAACACAUGCAAGUCGAGGGGUAGAGGCUUUCGGGCUUUGAGACCGGCGCACGGGUGCGUAACGCGUAUGCAAUCUGCCUUGUACUGAGGGAUAGCCCAGAGAAAUUUGGAUUAACACCUCAUAGUAUUUUAGUGUGGCAUCACAUUAUUAUUAAAGGUUACGGUACAAGAUGAGCAUGCGUCCCAUUAGCUAGUUGGUAUGGUAACGGCAUACCAAGGCUACGAUGGGUAGGGGUCCUGAGAGGGAGAUCCCCCACACUGGUACUGAGACACGGACCAGACUCCUACGGGAGGCAGCAGUGGGGAAUACUGGUCAAUGGUCGCAAGACUGAACCAGCCAUGCCGCGUGCAGGAUGAAGCAUCUAUGGUGUGUAAACUGCUUGUGUACGGGAAGAAACACUGCUACGUGUAGCGGCUUGACGGUACCGUAAGAAUAAGGAUCGGCUAACUCCAUGCCAGCAGCCGCCGUAACAC
rnacentral:rRNA from 1 species